rnacentral:rRNA from 1 species
CCAAUAGCGUAUAUUAAAGUUGUUGCAGUUAAAAAGCUCGUAGUUGAAUUUCGGGGUCAGUAGGCUGGUCGUGCCACAGGUACGUACUGGUCUCACUGAUUCCUCCUUCCUGAUGAACCGUAAUGCCAUUAAUUUGGUGUUGCGGGGAAACUGGACUGUUACUUUGAAAAAAUUAGAGUGUUUAAAGCAGGCUAACGCUUGAAUACAUUAGCAUGGAAUAAUGAAAUAGGACGUUCGAUCCUAUUUUGUUGGUUUCUAGGAUUGACGUAAUGAUUAAUAGGGAUAGUUGGGGGCAUUAGUAUUCAAUUGUCAGAGGUGAAAUUCUUGGAUUUAUUGAAGACUAACUACUGCGAAAGCAUUUGCCAAGGAUGUUUUCAUUAAUCAAGAACGAAAGUUAGGGGAUCGAAGACGAUCAGAUACCGUCGUAGUCUUAACCAUAAACUAUGCCGACUAGGAAUCGGAUGAUGUUAAUUUUUUAAUGACUCAUUCGGCGCCUUACG